rnacentral:rRNA from 1 species
ACACAGGGAAGAGUUUGAUCCUGGCUCAGGACGAACGCUGGCGGCGUGCUUAACACAUGCAAGUCGAGCGGAAAGGCCCUUCGGGGUACUCGAGCGGCGAACGGGUGAGUAACACGUGAGUAACCUGCCCCAGACUUUGGGAUAACCCUCGGAAACGGGGGCUAAUACCGAAUAUUACCUUCCUUCGCAUGUUGGUUGGUGGAAAGUUUUUCGGUUUGGGAUGGACUCGCGGCCUAUCAGCUUGUUGGUGGGGUAAUGGCCUACCAAGGCGACGACGGGUAGCCGGCCUGAGAGGGCGACCGGCCACACUGGGACUGAGACACGGCCCAGACUCCUACGGGAGGCAGCAGUGGGGAAUUUUGGACAAUGGGGGAAACCCUGAUCCAGCCAUUCCGCGUGAGUGAAGAAGGCCUUCGGGUUGUAAAGCUCUUUUGUCCGGAACGAAACGGUGGACGUGAAUAUCGUCCGCUACUAACGGUACCGGAAGAAUAAGCACCGGCUAACUACGUGCCAGCAGCCGCGGUA